rnacentral:lncRNA from 10 species
AAUCAGCCCAUGCUCAUGUGCAACCUCGAGGAAGCCUUCCUGGCUCAGGGGAGGAAUGUGCUCUUUGUCGCUCUCUGGCCAUUGGCUGGCCCCUGAGGGCUCCAGGGCGCCCCUGAUAACUACAUUUAGACAGGCAGUCACAAGCCUGGGGACUGCAGGCACAGUGAGGAAGGUAGGGAAGGGUCUCUCCAAGACAGGCCCACCAGGAGCCCCCACUGGGAAUAAUGCAGCCCCUCUCAGGGGAUGGAGUGUCUGGAAUUCCAUGGCUGAGGUGCAACAGGGUCCCACAGCCUCUCCAGCCUCUGUGGGAAGAAGGAUCAUCUGAUGCCUAUGUAAUAGAGUUGCUGAAGGAGUGGAAGCAGCUUUGACAUUAUCAGUGGAACCCACCAGUGCAGACUGCUUCACCAAGGGCACCUGAGGCAGCAGAUCUGAGGAUUAGGGACGUAGGGAGCUGAAGCCUGGCUGGAGAGGUGGUGCGCACAAGAACCCCCACAUUCCCCGACAGGAGCCUGAAAAAGCAAGACGCCAUGUUGGGAGGACACGGAAGCAGUUCUAGGGAGAGGAGCACAUGGCAAGAAGCCAAGGCCUCCUGCCCACAGCCGUUUCUUUUGCAGAUACCCUGUGAUUGCCAGCAAGUAAACCAGAUGCAAUUGUGGUUUCCGUGAAGCACAGCUGGAAAACUGCUGCCCCCACGGAGGAAGAGGAAGAUGGGAAGAUGGUGGUUACUGCACACCAGGCACCAGCCUCGGGGCUAUGAGCUGUACAAACAUUACCCAUUUUAUCCUCGUGACCAUGUUCUGAGAAGGCUGUCAAUGAUCUCACUUUAUACAUGGGGAAAUUCAUGCAGACAGAGGCUGACUAAAUUGCCAUGGUCACUCAGCUAGUAGGAACUGGAGCUGUAACUUGAACCCGGGUCUUUUGUUUCUGUGGCUCCUGGUAGCACAUGCCGGGCUUGAAGUGAGAUCCGGAGGAUGUUGGAAACAACGUGUUCCCCAUCAUGAAAGUCCUUAUGAUACCUUAUGAUGCAGAGUUGGCAGCCAGGAGCAGGGGCUUCCAGAAGCAUGGCUGACCCUUGUUGGGAUCUCGCUCCUGUGAGCCUUGGAACGUCUAGGGAGAAAGAGCAGCCAAAUUUAGAGCUGCAGGAGCUUUGAGAUGCAGCUCAGGCAUCAUCUCUGGGAAGUCUUUCCUGGAACCACAGCCUGGGCCCUGUACCUGAUUCCCAGCCCCUGUGGCUCUUUUUGCAUUUGCUGCCUCUUUUCACAAUUCUGUCUCCUUAUGUCUUCCACUCUACACGCAAGCCCCUUGAGGGCAGGACCAUGACUCAGUCAUCCUGUACCCUAGCACCCACCCUGGGUCUGCAUCUGGAAGGAGCUCACUAAGUGAUUAUUGAGCCAAACUGAACUGUAGCAGGAGUGAGCAAAGCUAAUUCAUGGGUGCAGAAUGGGAGCACAGAGCUGCCAGAAUCCAGAGACAACUGUAACUGUCCCGGCACAGGGGGCUUCAGGCCGCGGUGAGAGCCACUGAAAGCAAGAGAGCCAGGUGGUGGCUCAGUUCACACUGAGUCCUGCUGAAGAAAUAGGCACAUCGUGUGUGUUAAAAUCAGCACCCCAUGCACCUGUAGGAAGAGACUGAGGCACCCUGGAGGCCCCUCCCAAUAAUUAAAAGGCCCUCUGGGGCCUGUGGGAGCCCUAGCUGAUGAAAUCACAAAGGCCUCAGCCUCUAAAGUGUUUCCAGUAAAAUGCUACCAGGAUUUUCCUCCCUUAAAUCUGGAUGAAAGGGCUGUCUGUGCUACAAAGUGCACACCUGGCGUUGAUACGCAGUCUCUUGCUGCCUGUUAACUAACCCACCAGCCGACAAGUUCUGCCCACUGGCAGGAGCAAGGACUUAUAAAAAAUAGUGCCUCCCUCCCAAGGGCUUAUGAGCUGGUUAAGUGCAGAGGACAAAUAGAAUGAAAGAAAAGGCAAUCUCGGCAUAGUAUUUAGUUAAUUCUUCUCUCUCUCUUGUUCCCUCUCUCUCCUUUCUCUCUUCCUCCCUCCUUUCUAUGACUUGUCCUCUCCACACAACUCCUUUUCCGUUUUCCCUCCCCUGCCUCCCCACCUUCUUUCUUGACUUCCCAUCUUGCUCCCUUUCUUCCUGCCUGCCCAUCUGCUUUCCUUUCUUAUCUCUGGUGCAAAUUCUGCAUAUAGUCGCUCUCCUCAUUUCAUGACAGGCUGUCUUCAUCAGUUUCUGAGUUCUUUUGUUAUUUUAUAAAAUAUUUUACAUGCUGUCCUCAAAAAAUCCCCUCCCCCAGAAAAGGCCCAUUCAAAAGUACUUACUAUACGUCCUUAGAUAGGCAAUGAUCUCUGAAAUAUAUAUAGGCUUGCUCUAUAUGUGUUUUUGUAAGUGUACUUUUCUUUCAUUAAAUAUGCAGAUCUUAAUUGUACAGUUUGAGGUGUUUUGACAAAGGUAUAUACCAGUAAAACCACCACCCCAACCAAGGUACCGAACACUUUCAUCUCUCUGGAAAGUCCCCUUGUGCCACCUUCCAGUCAACUCUCACCCUCCAGAGGCACCCACUGUUCAGAUUUCUACAUGCAUUUUGCCUGUUGCUGAACUGGAACCUCACAGCCUUUUACGUCUGGCUUCUUUCACUUAACAUAAUGUUUUUAAGUCAUCCAUGUAGUUCAUUCUUUUUUUUGUUGCAGAGCAAUAUUCCAUUGUGUGAAUGGAUGUACUUUAUCCAUCAACAGUUGAUGAAGUUGGGUUGGUGGCACUUUUUGGCUAUCGUGGGUAAUGCUGCUCUGGAUGUUUCUGCACAAGUCUUUAUUGUGGACAUGGGUUUCCAUUUCUUCUGGGCAAAUGCCCAGGAACAGAAUUGCUGAUUCAUUAGGAAGUUAUAUGUUUAACUUCAUAAGAAACUGGAAAACCGCACUCCACAGUGUUCAUGCUAUUGCACAUUGCCCCCAGUGCCAUGUGAAUGUUUCAUUCUUGGGGUCUAGAAUAUCUUACUGCAGUUUUAAUUGGAAGUUCUCUGAUGACUUUUGAUAGAGUAUCUUUUCAUGUGCUUAUUGGUUAUUUAUUUCUUCUUUAAAGAAGAGUCUAGAUCCUUUUCCCAUUUAAAAUUGCAUUGCUUCUAUUUUUACUGUUGAUUCUUAGAAGUUCUUUACAUAUUUUAGAUUUAUAUACAGUAAAUAUUUUCUCCCAGUCCAUGGCUUGCCUUUACCUUUUCUUAAUGGUGUCUUUUGAUUAACCAGACAUUUUAAAUUUUCAUGAAGCCUAUUGUAUCGGGGGUUGUUUUUGUUUGUUCAUUUAUGGUUAGUACUCUUUUUGGUGCUAGCCAGGAAAACUUUGCCUACAUUCUCCUAAGCUCAUGAAUAUAUUUUUCUAUAUUUGUUUCUAGGACAUUUAUAAUUCAAACUUUUAUGUUCUAGCCUAUCACUCAUGUAUAGUUAUGUAUAGUAUAAAUAAGGAUUGAAGUUCAUUUUUCUUUCCAUAUACUUAUCCAGUUAUUCCAGCACCAUUUGUUGAAAACACUUUCUUUCCCUCAUUGAAUUUCCUUGAAGCUUGUGCUCAUAACUUAUAUAACGAGUAUUGCGUUACAAUUUCCAUUAUAUUUCUUAAUUUUUCACUUAACACAAUGUUUAUAUGAUCUAUCCGCAAUGCUGUAUUCAGUCAUUUGAAUUCACUCAUUCAUUUUAUCAUUCAAUAAAUCUGCAGUGGUGAAGAAAACAGAACAUGGCUUUAUUCUCAUGAAAUUUAUAAUCUAGUGAGAGAUAUUGGCCAAAAAAAUUAUACACACACACCCAGGUAAUGAUAAGAGCUA